AUUGAACGCUGGCGGCAGGCCUAACACAUGCAAGUCGAGCGAGCGGCGGACGGGUGAGUAAUGUAUGGGGAACUGCCUGAUGGGGGGGGAUAACUAGUGGAAAAGGUAGGCAAUACCGCAUACCAUCAGAUGAACCCAUAUGGGAUUAGCUAGUAGGUGAGGUAACGGCUUACCUAGGCGACGAUCCCUAGCUGGUCUGAGAGGAUGAACGGCCACACUGGGACUGAGACACGGCCCAGACUCCUACGGGAGGCAGCAGUGGGGAAUAUUGCACAAUGGGCGCAAUCCUGAUGCAGCCCUGCCGGGUGUAUGAAGAAGGCCUUCGGGUUGUAAAGUACUUUCAGUCGGGAGGCGUUACCGACAGAAGAAGCAACGGCUAACUCCGUGCCAGCAGCCGCGGUAAUAC
rnacentral:rRNA from 1 species